CAGCCGCCGCGGUAAUACGUAGGGUCCGAGCGUUGUCCGGAAUUACUGGGCGUAAAGAGCUCGUAGGUGGUUUGUCGCGUUGUUCGUGAAAACUCACAGCUUAACUGUGGGCGUGCGGGCGAUACGGGCAGACUAGAGUACUGCAGGGGAGACUGGAAUUCCUGGUGUAGCGGUGGAAUGCGCAGAUAUCAGGAGGAACACCGGUGGCGAAGGCGGGUCUCUGGGCAGUAACUGACGCUGAGGAGCGAAAGCGUGGGGAGCGAACAGGAUUAGAUACCCCUGUAGUCCCUGUCUCUUAUAC
rnacentral:rRNA from 1 species